GAUGAUGAAGCACCAACACCAAUGGAGUAAAGAUGUCAAGUCCCAAUCCUUAUAUCGAAUGCUUGAUUUCUCAGUUAUAAUUUAAGAAUAUAUUAUAUUUAAUAUUUAAUCAGUUCAUUAAAUGAUAAGAACAGAUACACAUACUAUUGGUCUAUUUUUUAAUUUUAAUUAUUUUCUUGAAUCCUAUUAUCAAUAGGUUACCAGUAAAAUAUCAACUUUUAUUUUAAUAAGUUUAUGUGUUGAGAAGCGUUAUACAUUAACACUCAUGGGUGUUACCUUUUAAACAAACAAUGCCAUAUCAUUUUACAUGUUUGAUAAAGUUUAGUGAUUACAGUGGUUGUUUGUAAGUACAAUUCAUCAUCUGACAUAAGUUAACCAGGAUUAUCAACUACAUCAAAACAAGAUAGAAUGUCAUGAAUGAUUUUUUGUUAACACCAUAUCCAUUAAACUGAAAAUGGAUAACAAUUGUCCAUUGAAGAAGUGGCUGACGCUGACCAACAAUCAGACUAGUUGCUACAAUAAGUGCAAUGUGAGAAGACAUAGAGCAAUAACAUUACCUACCCAGUAACAUAAAAUAUGUUUUGAUUCAAACAGAAAAAAAAAUGUUGUAUUGUUUUGUCUUUAUUAGUCUGUUUGGUGUGUAAAUACAUAAUUAGAAAAAAAUCUGUGCAAUUUUUAUAAUAAAUAAAAUUAUUUUAUAAGAUA